rnacentral:rRNA from 1 species
GAUGAACGCUGGCGGCGUGCCUAAUACAUGCGAGUCGAACGCUGAAGGAGGAGCUUGCUCUUCUGGAUGAGUUGCGAACGGGUGAGUAACGCGUAGGUAACCUGCCUGGUAGCGGGGGAUAACUAUUGGAAACGAUAGCUAAUACCGCAUGACAACAGUUAUUGCAUGAUAACUGUUUAAAAGGGGCAACUGCUCCACUACCAGAUGGACCUGCGUUGUAUUAGCUAGUUGGUGAGGUAACGGCUCACCAAGGCGACGAUACAUAGCCGACCUGAGAGGGUGAUCGGCCACACUGGGACUGAGACACGGCCCAGACUCCUACGGGAGGCAGCAGUAGGGAAUCUUCGGCAAUGGACGGAAGUCUGACCGAGCAACGCCGCGUGAGUGAAGAAGGUUUUCGGAUCGUAAAGCUCUGUUGUAAGAGAAGAACGAGUGUGAGAGUGGAAAGUUCACACUGUGACGGUAUCUUACCAGAAAGGGACGGCUAACUACGUG